UACGUAGGCAGCAAGCGUUGUUCGGAGUUACUGGGCGUAAAGCGCGUGUAGGCGGCAGGGCGUGUCGGAUGUGAAAUCCCGUGGCUCAACCACGGAAGUGCACCCGAAACUGCCCAGCUUGAGUCUCGGAGAGGAAGGCGGAAUGCUUGGUGUAGAGGUGAAAUUCGUAGAUAUCAAGCGGAACACCGGUGGCGAAGGCGGCCUUCUGGACGAUGACUGACGCUGAGACGCGAAAGCGUGGGGAGCAAACAGG
rnacentral:rRNA from 1 species